CUAGCGACUUCAGAGUUUGAUCCUGGCUCAGGAUGAACGCUGGCGGCAUGCCUAAUACAUGCAAGUCGAACGAGAUAUCUUCGGAUAUCUAGUGGCGAACGGGUGAGUAACACGUAGGUAACCUGCCCAUGUACCUGGGAUAACUGCUGGAAACGGUAGCUAAAACCGGAUAUGUGUAUUUCUCGCAUGAGAGAUACAUGAAAGCACCUUAUGGGUGUGGACAUGGAUGGACCUGCGGCGCAUUAGCUAGAUGGUGAGGUAACGGCUCACCAUGGCGAUGAUGCGUAGCCGACCUGAGAGGGCGAACGGCCACAUUGGAACUGAGACACGGUCCAA
rnacentral:rRNA from 1 species